GCUGGGCCGCCCGGCGUGGGCAGCGCCGGCUCUGGGGCAGCGCCGAGGGGUCGCGCCCGCAGCUCGGGCUGGUUUAUAUAGAGACACGGCACCACUGAGGUUGGAAAAACGUCGAGAGUCCCCAAGUCCAACCCCAACCCACCCCCACCGUGCCCACCGACCGUGUCCCUCAGCGCCGCAUCCCCACGGUUUCCAGCCUGUCCCAAUGCAUCACUACUCUUUCGGAGGAUAAACGCAUCCUAUUAUCCAAAGAGAACCUGCCUUGGUGCAGCUUCAGGCCAUUACUUCUUGUCCUGCCAUAGAAUGGCUUGGGUUGGAAGGGACCUCAAGAAUCAUCAAGUUCCAACCCCUGCCAUAGCCAGUCUGUGUUGCUGGCAAAAUUAAGUACUAGAUCAGAUUUCCCAGAGCCCCCUCCAGCCUGGCCUAUCACCCACUUGCAAUUGGUCCACAGUGCUUGAUGGCAGAUGCUGCUCAGCUGAGUUUGAGGUGCAGGGACAGAGACGGAGGAAGAAAUAGCAAGCAGCGGUACAUCAAGUGGCUUGGAAGAAAAAUGGGAGGAAAAAGAAAACCAACACCCUCCAAGGAUGCUUUUGUGAUAGGAGCAGAUGAAAGUGGAAGAAAAUCAGGGCUGCUAUCUGUUAUGUACGAGUAGGAGGCUGCGUUCCUUUCCGUGAUAAAUCUUUUCAGGUGCUGUUACCCUGUGGGACACCAGGCAGGUGUUACUGUUACAUCCUGUUUUGUAAACCCAAAAUGAAUAACAAACCUCUGAAGCAAAACUUUUCGGAGAAGGAAUGUUUGUCACGCUGACUCAGUUGAGCGUAGUGUUAUCUUUGGUAUGUAGACGGAUUUUUUUUUCUUAAAUAGGAAGUCAAAAUGAGUAACAUCUAAUGAACUGAUAAGCAACAUUUCCAAAGAGUACAACUGUGAGAGAAGUCAAGGAUUUGAGCAAUUAUAUCUUUUUCCUACAUUUGCUAAUCAGCUAUUACAAGAGUGAUGAGAAGGCUGACAUGCAUGAGAAAUACCCUUCUGAUAAUAAGCGCUUUGUUUCACACUUUUCUAGGUUCACAAAACUUGAAUCAAGUCACAUCCCAAUUGUUUUCCACUCUCAUCCACCUCUGAAGUUCCUGAUACCAUCAAGCUAUCGUCACACAGAGUGAGGUGGGAGAACUUCAGUCCGGCUGCAGGAUUGGUCCCAGCGUGUGCUGGAACACAGACAGACUGGAUGUUUUAUCCCCAACUUAUAGAAAAAAAAAUUGAGGCGAGGAAGUGAAGGCAUUCAUUUUUAAAGUGUAGAAGUUCUAAUUUAAAGAAUAAUGCUCAGAGUGAAGUCUGCACUGGGAGCGUUGUUCCAUGCGAAGCACCAUGACUCAGAGCAGCUUUGGGUGUACAUGAGGAGCUGUGACCUAAUGAGGCACUGUGCAACUCCUAACCACAUGAAGCCAUACGAAGCUCCACGUUCAGCCACUUUAAAACAAGCUGUUAAGUGCUGCAAAGCUUCAGGAUUACACAACUGAUGAGCACAGAGCAUCUGUGGCAAAGGAAAAAAACACCAUCUUCAAAUUUUGAGGAGCAAACAUGACCCUUUCUGUUUCCACUGAUUUCCACCCACAUUCAGUCAGUGCGAGAGAAGGAGGAAAAUGAAAAAAAGGCAGAUUUUCUUUGCAUGGAAGGACUGAAGAAUGUAUUGUUUUCUCAAUCACAAGCAAGCGCUUUCAUCACCGUCUUUGCUCUACAUUCUGAGUGACAGAGAGUUUUCUAUAUUUCACUUGUAUAACUUAGGAGAGGUCACAUUUGUAAAAGUCCCUCUGCAGAAGUGAGCCUUCUCUUUGGAUGUAUGCAAAUUCUACAGCACAUAUGCAGUUUGUAAUUUGCCGAUAGGUAUAAGCAUAUGCAAAAUGGAGAUUAAAUGUGUAUGUGCAAGUUUGCAAAAUUAAUCAACCGAGAAUACACAGAACUACAAAUGCUUUGUUGAAAAGAUUUAUGAACUAGCCUCCUAUAGAAGCUUUCACUCAGGGAUGCUAAAUACACUUCAUUUUUUAUUAAUAAUUAAUAAUUUAUAUGAUUUACACGAUAAUAUUUUUCACCCAUAAUAGCAUUUUAAAAAUAUAUCCCAGUCGUGUAAGGACCUGUCAGUGCUUCUGCCUAUUCACGAGUGCUUUAGUGGUGCUUUUUAUGAGUAUAAAAUGCUGCCAGUCUGGAGCCCCUCCAGGAUUAGAUCUUAAUCCCUAAAGAUAUGUAAGUGCUACCACCUCUGUUUUACAGAUUGAAAACUGGGAGUUGAAUGGGCAAAUGCAUGCAAGUUUACACACAGUCCAUAAUGGCAUAAAGAAAGAAAGUCUAGACACCAAACUCGUGAAGAGUAUUGUAAGGACAAUUACUUUCCCUUCUUAGAGACACUUUCAUACCAGCAGCUGAUCAGAACAUUAUCAACAGAAAAAUCAAAGCCGUUGGCCUCACUGCAAGUCCUGUGUUUCAGCGUGCAGCCAGAUGAGCUGGGAGCCUACAUUCUGUCCUCAGAAAUUGAAGCAAAGUGUGUUCAAAUGAUUCUCACAAUGCAAGAGGCAAAAAAGCAAUGUUUCCUUUCAGUAUACCUUUUACUAGAACUGGGUACAAUGGGGUGUAAUUAUUUUCAGAACAUUAACAAUAUCUGCUAUCUUCCUCCCAUCCUAGGUAGAAUUGUAAUCUGAUGUGUUUUUGCUUUGUAAUUUUCUAAAACGAAAAAUUCUGAUUUAACCAAACCUCUUCAGAAGGAAACUGACUGAUAUUAUCUUACUUCCCUCUUUUCUUAUUGUGGAAUUGUUGAGAGAAUGCCAGUUGUUGCUUCUUGUCAUCGCAGCUUUCUAUUGCUUGUUGAAGGCAAUAAAUAUGAACCAGAAGACUACUUAAAAACUGACCAGCGUGCAGAAUUCAAAUGUGUAGGUAGUAACACAAUGACAAUAUCAAUCUAAUUUUUCAUUCAUUACUUAAUUACAAAUACACACAUACACAAGCGCACAAAUUCUGCCUUCUGAAAAGCAAUUAAUUGACUUCACGGGAUUUUUUCAGCAAAAAUGUUAAAGAGUUUUUAUUUCUCAGGUACUAAAGUGGGAGUGAAUGAACAUCUCUGCCUUUCAGAGGGUUGCAGCAAAAGUCACUGACACUUGGUAUCGUCAAAAGUAGGAAAACUGGGAACUGCAAUAUGAAAUGAACGGCCAAGACUGAUGAUCACUCGGAUAUUUCUGACUCCACACAGAAGGCCUGUUUUGUCCCACGUGUGGUAUUAAGAGACUGGAAGGUUCUGUUUGCCUCUGAACUGGGUUAAUGGAUCCUGAGGACAGUCCUCCCAGCAAUAGCAUGUAUUGAGGGAUCUGCACAGGUUUCACAGCUGCACAGUGCAGAGUUGCUCUGCAAGGCAUGAGCUAAUGUACAGUUGAUUUCUCUCCGGGGGGCACUUUGAUUCUUGGUUUCAGAGGGGACCCUUUCAGUGUUCCUAAUGAUGUUUUUGGCUACAAAGCCUGGCAGCGUUAAAGCAUUGGUGAGGGCUCUGCACAACUGACACCAAAGAAAUGAAGCUUAAAGAGCUGUAGCAAAAGCCGUCACACUGCUGCUGCCCACCACUCAAACAGAGAAAGGUAUAAGUACCAAAAAAAAAAAAAAAACCCAAGCUCUGUGAGCAGAGUAACAAAGCUGUUUGCUAUUAUGGACAAAAGCUGCAGGAAAAAAAAAAAAUGAAGAGGAAAUGGGCUGUAUUACUGUGAGUUGGCACAGAAAUGAAAUACCAGGGUGCAAUUUAUGUAUAGUAAUUGUUCACGAAGCAUUCUUUUGGUUUUGAUAGUGACUCAUUGUGUUCUUUGUGACCUUUGAUGUACAGGAUGGGCUGCUAGAAGACAGAGGAAGCCACAGUAAGAAUAUAAAACUUUAUUAACUUAAGAUUUUGUUGUUUUGUUUUGUUUUUAUUGCUCACUGAUCAUAGGUAGUAUCUCUGGGAAAAACUACCAAGGGCAUUUACUUGAGUCCUUAUGGUUUUGCCUUCCCUCCCAGGCAUUUGCACUUUGAGAAAUAGCUCUGGUUUAGCUGAAAAAAUUGCUUUGGUUUUAAAGAGGAAAUUUGUUAAACAAUUGGUUGCUGAUGCUGAUUACUGAGUUCUGAAAAAUAAAAUAACCAAUUGAAAUACCACUGCGGUGGUAGGCCAGGUAAUGAGCAGUGAUGGGCACAGCGCAGCACAGAUGGAAAAUGUAUUGGGAGGAUAUUCUUCUGAGUGAAUAUUUUAUGUUAAAAAAAAAAAAUACAAAAAAAUCCUUUCUUACAGUCAUCGGAGUUGACACAACAGACUCUUCAGUGCUGUUAAGUUCCAUUAUGUAAAUCCAUAGUGAUGUAAGCCAGACACUGUCAAGUUUGA